CAGUCGCCACGGUAAUACAGAGGGUGCAAGCUUUAAUCGGAAUUACUGGGCGUAAAGCGCGCGUAGGUGGUUUGUUAAGUUGGAUGUGAAAGCCCCGGGCUCAACCUGGGAACUGCAUCCAAAACUGGCAAGCUAGAGUACGGUAGAGGGUGGUGGAAUUUCCUGUGUAGCUGUGAAAUGCGUAGAUAUAGGAAGGAACACCAGUGGCGAAGGCGACCACCUGGACUGAUACUGACACUGAUGUGCGAAAGCGUGGGGAGCAAACAGGAUUAGAUACCCCUGUAGUCCUGUCUCUUAUACA
rnacentral:rRNA from 1 species